rnacentral:rRNA from 1 species
AAUAUUGCGCAAUGGGGGAAACCCUGACGCAGCAACGCCGCGUGAGUGAAGAAGGUCUUCGGGUCGUAAAGCUCUGUCCUUGGGGAUGAAUAAUGACAGUACCCAAGGAGGAAGCCCCGGCUAACUACGUGCCAGCAGCCGCGGUAAUACGUAGGGGGCAAGCGUUGUCCGGAAUUACUGGGCAUAAAGAGUGCGUAGGCGGCAAGUUAAGUCAGAUGUGAAAGUCCAAGGCUCAACCAUGGAAUUGCAUAUGAAACUGGUUUGCUUGAGUGCAGGAGAGGAGAGCGGAAUUCCUAGUGUAGCGGUGAAAUGCGUAGAUAUUAGGAAGAACACCAGUGGCGAAGGCGGCUCUCUGGACUGUAACUGACGCUCAGGCACGAAAGCGUGGGUAGCGAACA